UUGAGCAUCAAUGGCCUCAAGUGGUUGCGAAGUAUCAUUUGGAUAGCAACAAACAUGUCGUCGGAUUGUAUGAAAUUAAGUAUUUUUGGGUGCUGGCUUACCUUCGUAAUUAUUUAUUUGGAGGAAUGACAACCACAGGGAGAUCAGAGAGUAUAAAUGCGUACGUAAAACGAUUCAUUAGCUCCCACAAAAAUUUGGAAAAUUUUGUUAGGCAGGUUGAUAUUGCAAUUGAAAACAUUCAACAACGACAAUUGCAUAACACAAUGCUGCAAAAGUAUAGGGGUUCCACUCUAAGAACAAUGUCGCCGUUGAAAAAGCAAGCUUGUGGUGUUCUUACACCGUUUUGUUUUGAGAAGUUUUCAAGAGGAAUUUGGUAGAGCAACUUUAUAUUCAUUAGUUCAUGAGCACGGGUGUGAAUUUGGAGUCAAACAUCACUAUAGUACAAAGAGCAAAACUCACAUUGUGUUUUGGGAUGGUGAGACUACUACAUGUAGUUGCAAGCAUUUUGAAUAUUGGGGAAUUCUUUGUCGUCACAUACUAAGUGUAUUUCUUCAUAAGGACUGCUAUAAAAUUCCAUCUAUCUAUUUGCCUUUGCGUUGGUGUCAUGACAUACUUCAAAGUGAGG